GAUGAACGCUAGCGGGAGGCCUAACACAUGCAAGCCGAGCGGUAUUGUUUCUUCGGAAAUGAGAGAGCGGCGUACGGGUGCGGAACACGUGUGCAACCUGCCUUUAUCUGGGGGAUAGCCUUUCGAAAGGAAGAUUAAUACUCCAUAAUAUAUUGAACGGCAUCGUUUAAUAUUGAAAGCUCCGGCGGAUAGAGAUGGGCACGCGCAAGAUUAGCUAGUUGGUGAGGUAACGGCUCACCAAGGCGAUGAUCUUUAGGGGGCCUGAGAGGGUGAUCCCCCACACUGGUACUGAGACACGGACCAGACUCCUACGGGAGGCAGCAGUGAGGAAUAUUGGUCAAUGGGUGCAAGCCUGAACCAGCCAUCCCGCGUGAGGGACGACUGCCCUAUGGGUUGUAAACUUCUUUUGUAUAGGGAUAAACCUACCCUCGUGAGGGUAGCUGAAGGUACUAUACGAAUAAGCACCGGCUAACUCCGUGCCAGCAGCCGCGGUAAAAC
rnacentral:rRNA from 1 species